AUUUAUAAAAUUUCUUAAAAUAAUACAAUCGAUGAUUUUAAAUUUUGAUUAAUUUGAAAAAAAUAAAAGUUAGAAAUGCGAUAGAAGGCCGAACAGCCACUCGCCGCCCGAAGGUAAUCGCUUUGCUGCCACCUCCAUUAGCAUGUGGGACAUCAUCGCCAGUAACGUUGGAUUUCUCCAUCGCCGAUCUACACAGAGGUGCAGUUGGUGACCUGAAAAUGCGACGCAUCUAGAUUCAUACUUCGUUCAAAAGAAUUAGAAUUCACCUGAACAUCAUUACUUCAGGUGAUUUGACAAAUUUUUAGGCAAAAUUAGUGCAAUAGAUUUAUAGAUCUAAAAAUUUCGAUCAAAAUGAUGAUAUUCACGCACCGAAAAAUGGUGACAAGGUGCCUCCGGAGGUGGUUCGGUCGGCGGCUCUAGUGGCAACUCCUUUAGAGUUGUUUGAAUUUUUUGUUUUAAAUGAAAUUUUCAAAUUAAAGAAAAAAUCAAAAUUG
rnacentral:lncRNA from 1 species